CCUACGGGAGGCUGCAGUGAGGAAUAUUGGUCAAUGGACGCAAGUCUGAACCAGCCAAGUAGCGUGAAGGAAGACUGCCCUAUGGGUUGUAAACUGCUUUUGUAAGAGGAUAAACGGAGACACGCGUAUCUUUCUGUAAGUACUGUAUGAAUAAGGAUCGGCUAACUCCGUGCCAGCAGCCGCGGUAAUACGGAGGAUUCGAGCGUUAUCCGGAUUUAUUGGGUUUAAAGGGAGCGUAGGUGGGUUGUUAAGUUAGUGGUGAAAGCUCGAGGCUCAACCUUGGAAUUGCCAUUGAUACUGGCAGUCUUGAGUGCAGUUGAGGUAGGCGGAAUGUGUGGUGUAGCGGUGAAAUGCUUAGAUAUCACGAAGAACUCCGAUUGCGAAGGCAGCUUACCAA
rnacentral:rRNA from 1 species